rnacentral:piRNA from 1 species
UGAGAUACAACUGUCAGGCAUUUUC